AGUUCUUUAUCUUAAAAUUAUAUGUUUUAAAUAUCGUAUUAUGUAUGUUUGAAUAAAUCCUUAAUUUUAAAAUAUAUUUAGCUCAUAUGCAUACAUGCUUUUAUUAAGAGGGAGUAUUAUCUUAGGGGGAGAACAUGAAACACANCUUUUUAAUUAUGAUCAAACAGGGGGAGAAAAUGUAUAAAACUUAUUAUUAUUCUCUAAUGCUCUUUUCUUCCAUAAGUGGUGUUUUUAUCCAGAUUAUUACAAAAAGCUUUAAUUCAAAGGAGUUUUUGAUCAUCAUAAAAAANGGGGAGAAUGUUAGGAAAACGAUGAAGAUGAAGUUUUGAUGAUGUCCGAAAUCAAGUCAAGAGAAAUGAUGAUUCAAGAAGAUCCUUUAAAGACUUGUUUUGCAAUGGAAAGNAACGAUGAAGAUGAAGUUUUGAUGAUGUCCGAAAUCAAGUCAAGAGAAAUGAUGAUUCAAGAAGAUCCUUUAAAGACUUGUUUUGCAAUGGAAAGAUUUUAUAAUAAUUGUAGUUUAUUGUCUAGGACUUAGAUUUUCAUUGGUUUUGAUUCCAUGUACUUUCAUACUUUGUAAUUGAUGUUAAGAGUCAAAAUUGCACUGUUUUAAUCGAUUAAAACAUAAUAUUAAUC
rnacentral:lncRNA from 1 species